CUAAGAAUAUUCCGCAAUGGACGAAAGUCUGACGGAGCGACGCCGCGUGGAUGAAGAAGGCCGCAAGGUUGUAAAAUCAUUUUGCUGGGGAAGAAUAAGUCCAGGAGGGAAUGCCUGGAUGAUGACAUGAACCGGCGAAUAAGCCCCGGCCAACUACGUGCCAGCAGCCGCGGUAACACGUAGGGGACAAGCGUGGUUCGGAAUUAAUGGGCGUAAAGUGCAUGUAGGCGGUUUAGUAAGCUUGGCGUGAAAGACCACGGCUUAACUGUUGGGUUGCGUUGAGAACUGCUGAACUUGAGUUACGGAGAUGAAGCUAGAAUUCCUGGUGUAGGGGUGGAAUCUGUAGAGAUCAGGAAGAAUACCGAUGGCGAAGGCAAGCUUCUGGGCGAUAACUGACUCUGAGGUGAGAAAGUGUGGUGAUCAAACA
rnacentral:rRNA from 1 species